AGUGGGGAAUAUUGCACAAUGUGGGAAACCUUGAUGCAGCCAUGCCGCGUGUGUGAAGAAGGCCCGAGGGUUGUAAAGCACUUUCAAUUGUGAGGAAAGGUUAGUUGCUAAUAACAGCUAACUGUGACGUUAACUUUAGAAGAAGCACCGGCUAACUCUGUGCCAGCAGCCGCGGUAAUACAGAGGGUGCAAGCGUUAUUCGGAAUUACUGGGCGUAAAGCGCGCGUAGGCGGACUGUUAAGUCGGUUGUGAAAGCCCUGGGCUCAACCUAGGAAUUGCAUCCGAUACUGGCAAUCUAGAGUUUAGGAGAGGGAAGUGGAAUUCCUGGUGUAGCAGUGAAAUGCGUAGAUAUCAGGAGGAACAUCAGUGGCGAAGGCGACUUCCUGGCCUAAAACUGACGCUGAGGUGCGAAAGCUUGGGUAGCGAACGGGAUUAGAUACCCCGGUAGUCCAAGCCGUAAACGAUGUCAACUAGCUGUUGGCCUUAUUAAAAAGGUUAGUAGCGUAGCUAACGCACUAAGUUGACCGCCUGGGGAGUACGGUCGCAAGAUUA
rnacentral:rRNA from 1 species